rnacentral:rRNA from 1 species
UACGUAGGGUGCGAGCGUUAAUCGGAAUUACUGGGCGUAAAAGGGGUGCGCAGGCGGUCCUGCAAGUCAGGCGUGAAAUCCCCGGGCUUAACCUGGGAAUGGCACUUGAAACUACGGGACUGGAGUAUGGCAGAGGGAGGUGGAAUUCCACGUGUAGCGGUGAAAUGCGUAGAGAUGUGGAGGAACACCGAUGGCGAAGGCAGCCUCCUGGGCCAAUACUGACGCUCAUGCACGAAAGCGUGGGGAGC